UCUGCGAAGGCAUCAUUUCCAGCAGCCUCAUGCCGAGCUGGCCGCCAGAGCCUCUUAGUGUGGCUAUAAAUAGCAGAUCAUCAACUCACCUCUUCUGAGCUCAGCACAGUCUCUUCAGUUCACUGUGUCUUUCUGCUGCCUGCGUGUCAACGUCACUCAGAUUUCCCAGGAGUAGAAAGAGUUACAGAUCCACAAGGUCUAUGGAAACAGGAGAGGAGAUGGCAGCAGACAAAGGAUGGAACACAUUUUUGGAAGGUGGGAAGCAGAGGAAGGAGUGAAAACCUUCAGGCACAACCCUUUCCUCCCAGGAUGGUGACUACAGGACACUUUUCUGUAGAAGCUGAGUAAACUCAAGGGAAAGACCUACAGAUACAGACAUGAUAUGGAGACAGACCCUCAAUGGAAGACCCAGCUCAUGACCAACUCCCCUCUACGGGGAAGUCCACUGUUUGACAAGCUCCACCCAAGCAUGCUGACCAGCGAAUCAUUGCUUCAAAGCAUAAUUCUUUGAUAUUAUCAGAGAGCCAAGAUCCCAUUUAAGGAAAGCAUCAGAUGUGAGAAAUGGGGAGGGGAAGGAGAAGAAGAAUGUCUAAGUUCAGGGAGAGGAAAGCUUUAAAAAUGCUAUAAAAAUCCCCAGGGAGAGAAAAUAAGGUUUCUAUUUCAAGAUUCAUUACCCACAAAAUGUCAGAACACCAGAGAUACAGAAAAGACCCUAAAAGGACCCAGACAGAAAAAACAGGUCAAUUGAGAGUAUCAGGGAUCAGAAUGGCACCAGACUUCUCAAAAGCAACACUGGAACCUGGGAGAUAAUGGAGUGAGGCCUUUAGAACUCUAAGUGAGAAUUUUUUAUAGCUUAGAAAUAUAAACCCAAACCAUUAAUUAGGAGAAACAGUAGAAUAAGAAAUGUUUUCAGACAAAAGAGAUCACAAAUAAUGGGCCUCUCAUGCUCCCUUUCUCAGGAAGUUCUCCACCCAAACAAAAGAAUAAUUCAAGGAUGAGGGGUGCCUGGGUGGUCAGUCAGUUGAGCAUGACUCCUGAUUUGGGCUCAGAUCAUGAUGUCAGGGUCACGGGGUCAAGCCCCACAUCAGGAUCUGUGCUCCAUAGGAAGUCUGUUUAUCUUUCUCCCUCUGCUCCUCUCCCCUCUCUCUCUAAAAUUAAAACAACAACAACAACAACAACAAACACUCCAAAGAUGAGGAUGACAUGCCCAGGAGAGCAAAAGGGUACCCGAGGUGAUGCUGAAGGAGAGCCCUAAUGACAAUGAGGUGGAAAGCCCAGGGGCAAGAGCUCUGCUCUGAGCCAGAGGAUAGAGAACUUCAGGUGAGAGAUGGUCAGAUUACUUGACAGGUAUGCCCAGGUAGAAAAUUAUGUUGAAGGGCUAUUAGACAGUUGUAAGAAUUAGUAAUAAGUUCUUUAAAAAACUGAGUAAAUAAAAAACAUGAGGCAAUUACUACCUACAAAAAAAAAAAAAAAAGCCUAUGACAGAUAAACUAUAAAAGAAAAUAAACACAACACCACAAAAAUGUACAUAGCCAAAGUAAUGUAAACACAGAUUAUUGAUUUAGCCAAAGAUGGUAAUAAACAGUGUUGGAAAGCUGGAGGAAAGAGAAGGAGGAUGCAGGUGCCAAUGGAUUAAAGCAAAUCCUCAUCUCCCACAAUUGCAAGAAAACAGAUAAUCUUUAAAAUUGACGAAUCAACAAAACAGCACUAUAAGCGUAUUAUCUAGAGAAAUGGGAGAGGAAGUUAAAACUGGGAAACAGCUGAAAGAGUUUAUUUAACUGGGUACCUUUGGGUUAUCAGACUGGGGUUGGGGUUACAUGGGACAAGGGAUUGCUAUUUUUCACCCUAUGCCUUUGAGUACUGUUUGAAUUUUUGUGUGUAUAC